GCGCCGCUUUUGAGGGGCGAACCAAGAUGGCGGCGGUUUUGGCUGUGUGAGGAAGACGGAAGAGACGGCGGCGGAGGGAAACCGACUUCCACUAGUCCGGGUCGCUUGGGCGGCCGGGGGCCCUCAGAGUCUCCCGGGCAGUGGUAGCAGUUGCAGCAGGAUCAGGCGCCUGUCGGCUUCUGACGUUUAAAACAGGGGGAGCGGAAGGGAGCCACUGGCCGCGGUGGCAGGGCCAGGUAUAAGGAAGGAAAAUAUGGCGGCGGCGGCGGCGGCCUGAGGAGGCGGCGGCGGCGCGGGAAGCUGCUUCGCGGAGAUCAUGGCGGAGGCGGGAGCAGGGCAGUGACGGGAGCCCCGAGUUCCUAGCGCUGCGGGGCGGGAGGCUACGAAGCGCUGCGCGGCCCCCUCGGGGCUGCCGGGCGCCGGGCUCGCCAGGCCUGGACAAUAGCGCCGGGGAGCCGGAGGCGAGGAAAGGCGGCGGCCCAGAGCUCGGUCCCUGGAGCGGGCCAUGCAGGCGGCGGCGCGGCCCCGCGGCGCCCAGCGGCGGCAGUGAGGCCGGGGAGCCCUCCGCUCGCGGGCGCCCUCACGCCUCGCCCCUCGCCUCUCCAGGGCCCCUUUCCUGGGCGUCUACUGGCGGGGCCCCCGCCCCGGUUCCCGGGCGGCACGAUGACCGACACCCGGCGGCGGGUGAAGGUGUACACGCUCAACGAGGACCGGCAGUGGGACGACCGGGGCACCGGGCAUGUGUCGUCUGGCUACGUGGAGCGGCUGAAGGGCAUGUCCCUGCUUGUCAGGGCUGAGAGCGACGGUUCUCUACUUUUAGAGUCGAAAAUAAAUCCUAACACUGCAUACCAGAAACAACAGGACACUCUGAUUGUGUGGUCUGAAGCAGAAAAUUAUGACUUGGCCCUUAGCUUUCAAGAAAAAGCUGGAUGUGAUGAAAUUUGGGAGAAAAUAUGUCAGGUUCAAGGAAAGGACCCUUCCGUGGACAUCACUCAGGACCUUGUGGAUGAAUCUGAAGAGGAGCGUUUUGAUGAUAUGUCAUCGCCAGGCUUAGAAUUGCCAUCUUGUGAAUUAAGUCGCCUUGAAGAAAUUGCAGAACUUGUGGCAUCAUCUUUACCUUCACCUCUUCGUCGUGAAAAACUUGCACUGGCACUAGAAAAUGAGGGUUAUAUUAAAAAGCUCCUGGAGCUUUUUCAUGUGUGUGAAGAUUUGGAAAAUAUUGAAGGACUGCACCACUUGUAUGAAAUUAUCAAAGGCAUCUUUCUCUUGAAUCGAACUGCUCUUUUUGAAGUUAUGUUCUCUGAAGAAUGUAUAAUGGACGUCAUUGGAUGUUUAGAAUAUGAUCCUGCUUUAUCACAACCACGAAAACACAGGGAAUUUCUAACAAAAACAGCCAAGUUUAAAGAAGUGAUUCCCAUAUCAGAUCCUGAGCUGAAACAAAAAAUUCAUCAGACAUACAGAGUUCAGUAUAUACAAGAUAUGGUUCUACCAACUCCUUCGGUCUUUGAAGAAAACAUGUUAUCAACACUUCACUCUUUUAUCUUUUUCAAUAAGGUAGAGAUUGUUGGCAUGUUGCAGGAAGAUGAAAAAUUUCUGACAGAUUUGUUUGCACAACUAACAGAUGAAGCAACAGAUGAGGAAAAAAGACAGGAAUUGGUUAACUUUUUAAAAGAAUUUUGUGCGUUUUCCCAAACGCUACAGCCUCAAAACAGAGAUGCUUUUUUCAAGACUUUGUCAAACAUGGGCAUAUUACCAGCUUUAGAAGUCAUCCUUGGCAUGGAUGAUACACAGGUGCGAAGUGCUGCUACUGAUAUAUUCUCAUACUUGGUUGAAUAUAAUCCAUCCAUGGUACGAGAGUUUGUCAUGCAGGAGGCACAACAGAAUGAUGAUGUAAGUAAGAAGUUAACAGAGCAAAAAAUAACCAGCAAGGAUAUUUUGCUCAUCAACCUCAUUAUAGAACAUAUGAUUUGUGAUACAGAUCCUGAACUUGGAGGAGCAGUCCAGCUUAUGGGCCUGCUUCGAACUUUAGUUGACCCAGAGAACAUGCUAGCCACUGCCAAUAAAACAGAAAAGACUGAAUUUCUGGGUUUCUUCUACAAGCACUGUAUGCAUGUUCUCACUGCUCCUUUACUAGCAAAUACAACAGAAGACAAACCUAGUAAAGAUGAUUUUCAGACUGCCCAACUAUUGGCACUUGUAUUGGAAUUGUUAACAUUUUGUGUGGAGCACCAUACCUACCACAUAAAGAACUACAUUAUUAAUAAGGAUAUCCUCCGGAGAGUGCUAGUUCUUAUGGCCUCGAAGCAUGCUUUCUUGGCAUUAUAAACCGUGUCAGCAUGGUUGCCUGGCUACCUGCUCAUGAAGGACUUGAUUAAUAGCAAAUUGGCAAUUUAACGAGCCACUUCCAUGAUCUCCAAAGAAACCAAAAUACAAACACAAUAUUUAAUCUUGCCAACCGAAGACGAUGUGACUGCAUGAAGUGCCCUUCGUUUUAAAAGAAAGAUUAUUGGAUUAAAAGAUGAGUUUUACAACCGCUACAUAAUGAAAAGUUUUUUGUUUGAACCAGUAGUGAAAGCAUUUCUCAACAAUGGAUCCCGCUACAAUCUGAUGAACUCUGCCAUAAUAGAGAUGUUUGAAUUUAUUAGAGUGGAAGAUAUAAAAUCAUUAACUGCUCAUGUAAUUGAAAAUUACUGGAAAGCACUGGAAGAUGUAGAUUAUGUACAGACAUUUAAAGGAUUAAAACUGAGAUUUGAACAACAAAGAGAAAGGCAAGAUAAUCCCAAACUUGACAGUAUGCGUUCCAUUUUGAGGAAUCACAGAUAUCGAAGAGAUGCCAGAACACUAGAAGAUGAAGAAGAGAUGUGGUUUAACACAGAUGAAGAUGACAUGGAAGAUGGAGAAGCUGUAGUGUCUCCAUCUGACAAAACUAAAAAUGAUGAUGAUAUUAUGGAUCCAAUAAGUAAAUUCAUGGAAAGGAAGAAAUUAAAAGAAAGUGAGGAAAAGGAAGUGCUUCUGAAAACAAACCUUUCUGGACGGCAGAGCCCAAGUUUCAAGCUUUCCCUGUCCAGUGGAACGAAGACUAACCUCACCAGCCAGUCAUCUACAACAAAUCUGCCUGGUUCUCCGGGAUCACCUGGAUCCCCAGGAUCUCCAGGCUCUCCUGGAUCCGUACCUAAAAAUACAUCUCAGACGGCAGCUAUUACUACAAAGGGAGGCCUCGUGGGUCUGGUAGAUUAUCCUGAUGAUGAUGAAGAUGAUGAUGAGGAUGAAGAUAAGGAAGAUACGUUACCAUUGUCAAAGAAAGCAAAAUUUGAUUCAUAAUAAUGGCAACGGCCUAGGAUCAGUACCUGUUGAAAAAAACUGGUUCUCCACCCCUCCCCCAUACAAAAUCCACAACAAAGCGCAGUGGUCUCUUGUGAAUGACUGACACAGAUCAGCCUCUUACACUUGACUUCUGCUCAUCAAGUGCCAAUUCAAUGGAGCAGGAGGAGGGGAUAUCAUAUAUUUAGGGGAAAGACUUAAGCCUUUGAGCUCUCCAGCUUGGACCACACAUUGCCCUUUUCUCAGGGAAGGAAAUGGAAACAAAAAGCCAACAGGGCAGGGGUUUUGUAAGUGGAACUCUGGAUUGACUGGUCAGUUGCUACAAUCAGAAUAUGCUUUCUUGGACCAUGUUUGAGACUCAGAAGAAUGGGCCUUUCUGCCAUAAUUCUUCACUAGUCAAGAAUGCCAGCAGUUUCUUUGUAUAAAGAGACCUGCCUUUAAAAUCAUACAUUCUGAACAUUUUAGUCAAGCUACAACAGGUUUGGAAAACCUCUGUGGGGGAGGGGCGAGUAUAAAGUUUUCCUCUUUUUUAACUGUUCCCUUUGCCCUUCAAACUGCAGAUAUUUUUUUUUUUAAGUGGGGACUUCUCCCUACUUGAUUAAAGAUUGAGUGGAAUUCUAGAUGUGGUCAUUUGUGUCAUAAUUUUUUUGUUUUAUUUUGUUUUUGAUUUUUUUUUUCCUCCCCUGAGUGUAUGCUUAGUUGUUGAGUAUAUAUAUUUGGGACCAUUAAAACUUUUUUUGAUGUAAUAUAACCUAACGUUGUGCUGGUACCUGUUUUACCAUGUGUAAUUUUUGUUCUACAUCACAGUUCUUAAUUUGUUUAGAGUUUUAUGAAAGAUGGUAUAGUUUUUAUUGACAAAAGCAAAGUAAUCUUACAACUAUGUGCAUACAAAAGCAAUACUAUUUUGUGACUAAAUAUUUUAUAUUAAAAUUUACAUCAGCAACUGUCUUGAGAAUUCAGGGAAAUAGAAUGGAAUUUAAAACUUCAACAGUUUUGUUAAAUCUAGAAACAUGAAAUUAGUAUUCCAAAGAGAUUCUGAAAUUUCUUUUCUUGGGGAAAUGACGGUACAUUAAAUCAAAAUUGAGGAUGGAUGAUUUAAAAACAUUUGACUUUUGAAUAAUAAAAAGAAAAGUGAAGAGUAAGAGAAAUUGUAUUAGUUGUAUGUUUCUUGUUUUUGUUUUUAACUACUCCCUUUGGAAUACCAGUUUGACUUGUAAGUGGUGGUUUCUAAAUAAAUACCUGGCCAGAGGA